rnacentral:siRNA from 1 species
GAAGAUGAUGGUUGAUGGGUU